rnacentral:lncRNA from 1 species
UAUAUUAUGUAAUAAAGUAAUAAAAUAUUUAGGUUACCCCGGGUAUUUGCUCGAGCAGGAUUAUUUUUUUAAAGGAGUUCUACGCGAAAGUACGUCCGUCACCCCGGGUAUUGGCUCGACUAGGGUAAUUUUUUUAAAGCUCCAACCUCCAACGCAAAAAUGAAUACUACGUGAAUGACUUCAGGCACGCCGACUUGAUAUAAAUUUUAUAAUAUUAUAAUAGAGUUUAUAUAUAAAUCACAUAUUAUAUACAUCAUAUGUAUAUAGAAAGUGUUAACUCAAUUAUAGCUUGAAAAUUUUUGGAAAGUAUUUUUUAGUAUAGUUAAUAUAGAAAGAAGAAUCGCGCGGAAAUACAAACAAAGAAAAAUCGUUGAAAAUUCCACAUAUUUGGAUGCUAAUUUUUAUAUAAAUACAAAUAUGUAAGUUUUAUUAAAAAUUUUUUCUAGUCAUUUGCAAAAAUGUUCUGGUACUUGAGUAGGUGCAACUUCUUUCGAAAAUAUUUUUUAAACCAUAAUGUCAAAUAAUCUUUUUUAUGUGUUUACAUUUUAACGAUGUGAUUUGAUUUAGAAUAUAUUAUUUUGCAGUUAUAACUUAUGAAACAAAUUUUUAUUGUCCAGAAUGUUCAAAAAGUUUAUCAAUUAUAAGUAUAAACAAAGUACAACAGCUGAUGUAGACCUUCUAAACAAGAAUACUUGUAGGUUUGACAAAUUGUUGCUUGGGUAGAUAGUACCCAGUAAUUAUAAAUUUAAUCACGGCUACAUAAGAGAUACAAGUUACAAUUCUCCUGGGUCCUUAAAUUUAGAGCCCUAUGACUGAUUCUCAUAUAACUUUUGCUUUGAAAAAUGUUUUAAAGAGUGCCUUCCGACAAGGACUGUUUUUGUCACGCAUUAACGGCAAGAGCGCAGAUUAUCAAGCCGAGAAAAAAUGAUUUGAAUAAAUUUACAAAAACGACUGGACAUUGCUGGCCGUGAUGUCACACGAUAUCCGAUUAAGUUGCAGCUACUUGGUGGUUAUACAUUUUGACCUACAUGUACCACCUAUGACAUCGAGAUGAAACAUUAUCCGACGGUUGUGUGAUAAAGAUAUUAAGGAGCUAUUCCAACCGCAUUUAAUAAACGUUGGAGAACAAGACAUCGUUAGAUCAGUGUUUUACACCAUACAACAUAUAUGAUCGGAAUUGUACGAGCAUACCUUGUGUGUGUGUGGAUAAAUUUGCGACCCGCUACAACAAAAAGAUGUCCUUCUCGUCGACGUUAUUUUGGCUGAAAUGGCAAAGGACCGGAAUGUUUUUGGAUGUUUGUAGAAACAAAAAAAAUAAUAAAAGUAUUACAGAAACUUGCAAAGAGUUUAAAGUAGUAGCAAGGGGCAUAAGUUAUAGAAAGAAAUUUAAUAUCGUUAUUGUUUUAAAGUUAUACCUGUAUCUGCGUUUUGUGUUCUCACUACAAGAUCGGAGUAAUCAAAUUGAUAAUGUUUGAGUACCUAAGAAUGAGACGCAUAUAUUGACAAUGAAUCCGUUAAAAAUUGUCGCCAUUCGAAGAAAAAUUUUAAGCAUCGUAAAUGAUUUGAAGAGCGCCAGAUUGAAAUUCUGAUGUAUGCAGUUAUAUAAAAUGUCGCUUGGCCAAUAACAAUGCCUUGGUAGUGUCUUUGCCAGAAUACGAUCCAACAAUACCAUGGUUGCAACAUUAUGUUAAUUGUCCGUUUAAGAGCCAUGUAUGUAUAAACAAAGAACAGUUUUUUCAGUGACUUGAAUCAAGAACAAAAAAUGUAUCACAAAAUGUUGGCUGGACAUUCUAAACAACAAAUGGACCAUAUUUUUUUAGAGCAUUUACGGAUGAGCAAUUAGCUGCUGUAAUUUCACCAACGCGGAGGCUUUUAAGACAUUAAUGGAUAUGAAUGCCACAAAUAAUCGGGGCAUUGCUACGAGUCCGUUGGCGGAAUGGGUGCAAAAAGUGAGCUAUUUACCAAUGCCUGAAAGUGUUCGAACAAAACUUGACGAAUAUAUUGAUGAUAUACAAUAAAUGGAAGAAUUAGCGGGCGAAUUUGUCAACAUUGAGGGAGCUGGACUUGAUCUACUUCAAAGCAAGAUUAACCCAAGUUGUGUACCAAACGCUUAUUCGACAUAUCUUGGAUGAGUGUAUCUAAUAUUAUAGUAUUAGUAAUGAUAGUAUAUAUUUUUAAAAUUUAAUGUAGUUUCUAUUCAUUUUAGAUAUUUGCAAAUUUCUGAGGAAAAAUCUCAAGUCGGACCCAGUCACUAUUAUUAUUAUAUUUAUAUUACUCAAUACUAAUGGAGUCAU